GAUGAACGCUGGCGGCGUGCCUAAUACAUGCCAGUCGAGCGAACAGAUGAGGAGCUUGCUCCUCUGACGUUAGCGGCGGACGGGUGAGUAACACGUGGAUAACCUACCUAUAAGACUGGGAUAACUUCGGGAAACCGGAGCUAAUACCGGAUAAUAUAUUGAACCGCAUGGUUCAAUAGUGAAAGACGGUUUUGCUGUCACUUAUAGAUGGAUCCGCGCCGCAUUAGCUAGUUGGUAAGGUAACGGCUUACCAAGGCAACGAUGCGUAGCCGACCUGAGAGGGUGGUCGGCCACACUGGAACUGAGACACGGUCCAGACUCCUACGGGAGGCAGCAGUAGGGAAUCUUCCGCAAUGGGCGAAAGCCUGACAGAGCAACGCCGCGUGAGUGAUGAAGGUCUUCGGAUCGUAAAACUCUGUUAUUAGGGAAGAACAAAUGUGUAAGUAACUAUGCACGUCUUGACGGUACCUAAUCAGAAAGCCCCGGCUAACUACGUG
rnacentral:rRNA from 1 species